GACGAACCGUGCGAACGUUGUUCGGAAUCACUGGGCUUAAAGGGCGCGUAGGCGGGCCUCCAAGUCCGGGGUGAAAUCCUCCCGCCCAACGGGAGAAGCGCCUCGGAGACUGGGGGCCUCGAGGGAGGUAGGGGCAAGCGGAACUAUGGGUGGAGCGGUGAAAUGCAUUGAUAUCCAUAGGAACUCCGGUGGCGAAGGCGGCUUGCUGGACCUUCACUGACGCUGAGGCGCGAAAGCCAGGGGAGCAAACGGG
rnacentral:rRNA from 1 species